GAUUAAGUUAUUAAGGGCGCACGGUGGAUGCCUUGGCACUAGAAGCCGAUGAAGGACGUUACUAACGACGAUAUGCUUUGGGGAGCUGUAAGUAAGCUUUGAUCCAGAGAUUUCCGAAUGGGGAAACCCAGCAUGAGUUAUGUCAUGUUAUCGAUAUGUGAAUACAUAGCAUAUCAGAAGGCACACCCGGAGAACUGAAACAUCUUAGUACCCGGAGGAAGAGAAAGAAAAUUCGAUUCCCUUAGUAGCGGCGAGCGAAACGGGAAGAGCCCAAACCAACAAGCUUGCUUGUUGGGGUUGUAGGACACUCUAUACGGAGUUACAAAGGACGACAUUAGACGAAUCAUCUGGAAAGAUGAAUCAAAGAAGGUAAUAAUCCUGUAGUCGAAAAUGUUGUCUCUCUUGAGUGGAUCCUGAGUACGACGGAGCACGUGAAAUUCCGUCGGAAUCUGGGAGGACCAUCUCCUAAGGCUAAAUACUCUCUAGUGACCGAUAGUGAACCAGUACCGUGAGGGAAAGGUGAAAAGCACCCCGGAAGGGGAGUGAAAUAGAACCUGAAACCGUGUGCUUACAAGUAGUCAGAGCCCGUUAAUGGGUGAUGGCGUGCCUUUUGUAGAAUGAACCGGCGAGUUACGAUUUGAUGCAAGGUUAAGCAGUAAAUGUGGAGCCGUAGCGAAAGCGAGUCUGAAUAGGGCGUUUAGUAUUUGGUCGUAGACCCGAAACCAGGUGAUCUACCCUUGGUCAGGUUGAAGUUCAGGUAACACUGAAUGGAGGACCGAACCG
rnacentral:rRNA from 1 species